ensembl:snRNA U6 U6 spliceosomal RNA
GUGCUGACUUCAGCAGCACAUAUACUAAAAUUAAAAUAAUACAGAGAAAAUUAGCACAGCCCCAUGCAAGGAUGACAUACACAUCUGUGAAGCCUUCUAUAUUUUU